GAUGAACGCUGACAGAAUGCUUAACACAUGCAAGUCUACUUGAAUUUGGGUUUUUUAACUUAGAUUUGGGUGGCGGACGGGUGAGUAACGCGUAAAGAACUUGUCUCACAGCUAGGGACAACAUUUGGAAACGAAUGCUAAUACCUGAUAUUAUGAUUAUAAGGCAUCUUAGAAUUAUGAAAGCUAUAUGCGCUGUGAGAGAGCUUUGCGUCCCAUUAGCUAGUUGGAGAGGUAACGGCUCACCAAGGCGAUGAUGGGUAGCCGGCCUGAGAGGGUGAACGGCCACAAGGGGACUGAGACACGGCCCUUACUCCUACGGGAGGCAGCAGUGGGGAAUAUGGGACAAUGGACCAAGAGUCUGAUCCAGCAAUUCUGUGUGCACGAUGACGUUUUUCGGAAUGUAAAGUGCUUUCAGUUGGGAAGAAAAAAAUGACGGUACCAACAGAAGAAGUGACGGCUAAAUACGUG
rnacentral:rRNA from 1 species